rfam:Schistosoma rodhaini strain Burundi genome assembly, scaffold: SROB_scaffold0016780
GGUCAAGCGAAUAAGCGCACACGGUGGAUGCCUUGGCGGUCAGAGGCGAUGAAGGACGUGGCAGCCUGCGAAAAGUAUCGGGGAGCUGGCAACAAGCUUUGAUCCGGUAAUGUCCGAAUGGGGAAACCCACCCGCUUGCGGGUAUCCUGCAGUGAAUACAUAGCUGCUGGAAGCGAACCUGGUGAACUGAAAUAUCUAAGUAACCAGAGGAAAAGAAAUCAACCGAGAUUCCGUAAGUAGCGACGAGCGAACGCGGACUAGCCCUUAAGCUGAUUUGGUUCUAGGAAAACNNNNNNNNNNGAACAUGGGGGGACCAUCCUCCAAGGCUAAAUACUACUGACCGACCGAUAGUGAACCAGUACCGUGAGGGAAAGGCGAAAAGAACCCCGGAGAGGGGAGUGAAAUAGAACCUGAAACCGUGUGCGUACAAGCAGUAGGAGCUCCGCAAGGAGUGACUGCGUACCUUUUGUAUAAUGGGUCAGCGACUUACUGUUCGUGGCAAGCUUAACCGUAUAGGGGAGGCGAAGGGAAACCGAGUCUGAUAAGGGCGCAUAGUCGCGGGCAGUAGACCCGAAACCGGGUGAUCUAGUCAUGCCCAGGGUGAAGGUGCGGUAACACGCACUGGAGGCCCGAACCCACUCCCGUUGCAAAGGUAGGGGAUGAGGUGUGAUUAGGAGUGAAAAGCUAAUCGAACCCGGAGAUAGCUGGUUCUCCUCGAAAGCUAUUUAGGUAGCGCCUCAUAUGUAUCCUCUCGGGGGUAGAGCACUGUUAUGGCUAGGGGGUCAUCGCGACUUACCAAACCAUUGCAAACUCCGAAUACCGAGACGGACUGUAUGGGAGACACACGGCGGGUGCUAACGUCCGUCGUGAAAAGGGAAACAACCCAGACCCACAGCUAAGGUCCCAAAUUCACUGCUAAGUGGAAAACCAUGUGGAAAGGCACAGACAGCCAGGAGGUUGGCUUAGAAGCAGCCACCCUUUAAAGAAAGCGUAAUAGCUCACUGGUCGAGUCGGUCUGCGGGGAAGAUUUAACGGGGCUAAGCAGUGAACCGAAGCUUGGGGUGCAUACUUUGUAUGCGCGGUAGAGGAGCGUUCCGUAAGCCGUUGAAGGUGGAUUGAGAAGUCUGCUGGAGGUAUCGGAAGUGCGAAUGCUGACAUGAGUAACGAUAAUGCGGGUGAAAAACCCGCACGCCGAAAGCCCAAGGUUUCCUUGCGCAACGUUAAUCGGCGCAGGGUGAGUCGGCCCCUAAGGCGAGGACGAAAGUCGUAGUCGAUGGGAAGCAGGUUAAUAUUCCUGCACCUCGCGUAAGUGCGAUGGAGGGACGGAGAAGGUUAGGUGUACCAGGCGUUGGUUGUCCUGGGGAAAGGCGGUAGGUUUGGAUCUUUGGCAAAUCCGGGAUCCUUUAAGACCGAGCACCGAGACGAGCCUUUAAGGCGAAGUCACUGAUACCACGCUUCCAGGAAAAGCUCCUAAGCUUCAGCUUACGCAGACCGUACCGUAAACCGACACAGGUGGGUAGGAUGAGAAUUCUCAGGCGCUUGAGAGAACUCGGGUGAAGGAACUAGGCAACAUGGCACCGUAACUUCGGGAGAAGGUGCACCCUUUUUGGUGGCUCGUGCGAGCUAUAGCUGAAGAGGGUCGCAGUAACCAGGCCGCUGCGACUGUUUAUCAAAAACACAGCACUCUGCAAACACGAAAGUGGACGUAUAGGGUGUGACGCCUGCCCGGUGCUGGAAGGUUAAUUGAUGGGGUCAGCCGCAAGGCGAAGCUCUUGAUCGAAGCCCCAGUAAACGGCGGCCGUAACUAUAACGGUCCUAAGGUAGCGAAAUUCCUUGUCGGGUAAGUUCCGACCUGCACGAAUGGCGUAACGACAGCGGCGCUGUCUCCACCCGAGACUCAGUGAAAUUGAAAUCGCUGUGAAGAUGCAGCGUUCCCGUGGCAAGACGGAAAGACCCCGUGAACCUUUACUAUAGCUUUACACUGAACGUUGAGUUCGUCUGUGUAGGAUAGGUGGGAGGCUAUGAAACUGUGGCGCUAGCUGCAGUGGAGCCAUCCUUGAAAUACCACCCUGUCGUGNNNNNNNNNNNNNNNNNNNNNNNNNNNNNNNNNNNNNNNNNNNNNNNNNNCCCAUUAUCUGGGUCGGGGACCGUGUAUGGUGGGUAGUUUGACUGGGGCGGUCUCCUCCUAAAGAGUAACGGAGGAGCUCGAAGGUACGCUCAGCGCGGUCGGACAUCGCGCACUGUGUGCAAAGGCAUAAGCGUGCUUGACUGCAAGAUCGACGGAUCAAGCAGGUAGGAAACUAGGACUUAGUGAUCCGGUGGUUCUGUAUGGAAGGGCCAUCGCUCAACGGAUAAAAGGUACUCCGGGGAUAACAGGCUGAUACCGCCCAAGAGUUCAUAUCGACGGCGGUGUUUGGCACCUCGAUGUCGGCUCAUCACAUCCUGGGGCUGUAGUCGGUCCCAAGGGUAUGGCUGUUCGCCAUUUAAAGUGGUACGCGAGCUGGGUUCAGAACGUCGUGAGACAGUUCGGUCCCUAUCUGCCAUGGGCGUUGGAGAUUUGAGAGGGGCUGCUCCUAGUACGAGAGGACCGGAGUGGACGAACCUCUGGUGUUCCGGUUGUCACGCCAGUGGCAUUGCCGGGUAGCUAUGUUCGGAAGCGAUAACCGCUGAAAGCAUCUAAGCGGGAAGCGCGCCUCAAGAUGAGAUCUCCCGGGGCACAAGCCCCCUGAAGGAACCAUGUAGACUACGUGGUUGAUAGGUCAGGUGUGUAAGUACAGCAAUGUAUUGAGCUAACUGAUACUAAUGAUCCGUGCGGCUUGACCAU